rnacentral:lncRNA from 10 species
CAGAAUACCCUCCUGGCAAAGGCCAUACAUAUUAUACUGUGUUCUUGCCAUAACCAUGACAUUUCUUUUAGGCUUCCUGAUUUGUCUUAAAAAUUCAUGGAAGUUUUUGCUUUCUAUUCUGUAAAGUAUGAAUUUAAUAUAAAAUCUAAAAAAUAUCUAACAGAUUACAUAUCCCUUUUUCCAAGGUGACAAGUAAAAGUGACUUAGGAAGAUAAGGCCGGGUGCGGUGGCUCUCACCUGUAAUCCCAGCACUUUGGGAGGCUGAGGCGGGCAGAUUGCCUGAGGUCAGGAGUUCAAGACCAGCCUAGCCAACAUGGUGAAACCGUAUCUCUACUAAAAAAAAAGUUAAAAGUGGCUGGGCACGGUGGCUCAUGCCUGUGAUCCCAGCACUUUGGGAGGCCAAAGCGGGUGGAUCACGAGGUCAGGAAUUCGAAACCAGCCUGACCAACAUGAUGAAACCCGUCUCUACGAAAAAUAGAAAAAUUAGCCAGGCAUGAUGGUGGGCGCCUGUAAUCCUAGCUGCUCGGGAGGCUGAGGCAAGAGAAUAGCUUGAACCCAGGAGGGUGGAGCUUGCAGUGAGCCAAGACCAUGCCAUUGCACUCCAGCCUGGGCGACAGAGCGAGACUCCAUCUCAAAAAAUAAAUAAGUAAAUAAAUAAAUAAGCUGGGUGUGGUGGUGAGCACCUGUAAUCCCAGCUACUCGAGAGGCUGAGGCAGGGAGAAUUGCUUAAACCCGGGAGACAGAGGUUGCAGUGAGCUGAGAUUGCGCCACUGCACUCCAGCCUAUGUGACAGAGCGAGCCUCUGUCUCAAAAAAAAAGAAAAAAAAAGGGAAGAUAGGUCACAUUUAUGCUGUAGUUUCUAUCCUGGGGCUAAUCUGAUACCCAGUUUGAAACUUUGAAGUGUUUAUUAUUUUAGAUGAAAAGUUGUAUUUUUUUCUUCCUAAUGAGUUAGGAAUUUAGAUUAGAUACACUCCUAGAGAUGUAUAAGCUGGUAGGCUGGGCACUAGAGCUAAACAGCCACUUCUAGAGCCUUUUAAUGGUCCAAGCCAAAGACUGUUGAGAGAACUGUAUUUUCUUUGCUGAUGCUCUUUUCUUCUCUGGAUUUUAUGUACUGUUCGUUUAUUCCUCUGCCCUGUCUCUGGAGCUACUGCAUACUGGUAUAGCUUAGUCCAUUAUAGAAAAAUCAAGAACAAUGUACAUUUUUGGUGAAAAGAUUUUUGUGAGUAUAUGUUAAGAGUUGCGUAUUUAGUCAUGUUUUCUGUUGAAUGCAACCAAUGUACAAUAUUGACAGCUUUCACCUGGCUUUCUGGAGUAAACAGUGAAUUUAUUGGUGUUCUAGAAUCAUUAAAUUCGCUAGAGAAUUUGCUAGUGAAUUUGGAUUGCUUUCUGAACAUUUUUCUGUUCUUCUGUAGUGCUCCCUCUGAGCAUUGUAGAAGUGUUCCAGCACCCCUAUGAAGACCACAUUCAUUUUGUCAGGGAGCCUUUAGUCCACUAUCUUGAAUCAUACAUGAAGGAUCUAGUGAUACACUUUUUUAAAGAUUUGUAUUACCAACUUCUCUGCUCAUACUGCAUUAGUACUAGCAGGUGCAUUGGAUAUUUAUUGACUCCAAAACUUGAAUGUAUUUUGGAAAAUGGAGCUGAUAGUAUCCUGGAUCUUGGAUUAGUAGACUCCUCAGAAAAGGUACAGCAGGAAAACCGAAAGCGCCAUGGCUCUAGUCGAAGUGUAGUAGAUAUGGAUUUAGAUGAUACAGAUGAUGGUGAUG